rnacentral:rRNA from 1 species
UUUACUACUUGGAUAACCGUAGUAAUUCUAGGGCUAAUACAUGAAUAAAWCCUCAACUUCGGAAGAGGUGUGUUUAUUAGUAUGAAAACCAUAUAUCUUCGGAUAUAAUAGUGAGUAAUAAUAACCUUUCAUAUCGUAUGUCGUAAGAUAACGAUAGUUCUUUCAAGUUUCUGCCCUAUCAGCUUUCGAUGGUAGUAUAUGGGACUACCAUGGCAGUAACGGGUAACGAAGAAUUUGGGUUCGAUUUCGGAGAGGGAGCCUGAGAGAUGGCUACCACAUCCAAGGAAGGCAGCAGGCGCGUAAAUUACCCAAUCCUGACAUAGGGAGGUAGUGACAAUAAAUCACAAUGCGGAACUUUUA